rnacentral:lncRNA from 1 species
CUGGGACACAGUCAUGCACCACCAUGCCUGGCUAAUUUUUAAAAUUUUUUGUAGAGAUGGGUUUCUCUUUAUGUUGCCAAGCCUGGCCUCAAAGUCUUGGGCUCAAGCAAUCCACCCUGUUCGGCUUCCCAAAGUGAUGAGAUUGCAGGCAUGAGUCACCACAUCCAGCCUCAAAUGCUUUUUUGUACUUUAAUGAGAUCAUAUAUUUUUAUUAAUAUGGUGAAUGAUACUGGUUAUUUUUUACAUUUUAAAUUCACUUUGCAUUCAUCAUAUAAACCCCACUUGGUCAUGGUGCAUUACCCUUCUUAUAAAUUGCUGGACUUAAUUUGCUUAUACCGUGUUAAGGAUUUUUGAAUGUAUGAUUAGGAGACAUAUUGAACUUAAGCUGCGUGGACUUAGAAUUUUCUUUGUGGAAUCGAUCAUCGUGGCAGACAGGAGGCAGGAUUAGAUUGCAGCUCUGACUCAGAGCAGCGUGCGGAGGCUCGCAUUGUGAAUUUUAGCUCCAGAUAAACUUCAAGAACAAACCAGCAAUCCUGAGAGGACCCACAGACCCUCUGAAAAAAGCGGACUGUUCCUGCAACACCCAGGAGACACCCCAAAUACUGUGAGUGACCCAACUGCGGAAGCGGGAAAGGGAGAUCCUCCUCUCCUGAACACACACCCCCACUGGAGAAACUGAAGAUGAAGAAUCUGAGGCACAAAGAGGUCAACUGGCUUGCCCAAGGGUACUUGGCAGAAGGUGAGCUCUGAUAUAGUGCUUUAGUGCACGGACUCAGAAAGUGGAUGAGGAAGAGUGCAAUAUUGGCAGCAGUAUGCAAUUUCCUUUCUUCUUGUGUGUGACAAACAGCAUAACUUCCUCACUAUAAUCUGGUUUGAAAGUUGAGGACACUGCUCUGGCUAGAGAAUUGACUUUGCUGAUGAGCCUCUGGUCAACAUUUUCAGCUAAGACAUUCAUGAAGCUGUGUAAGAGAGAAAGGCUCAUCACCUUUGCAGAUGACACAAGCCUUUUAUGCGGGAAUCAAAGAAGAACAUGAGAGGCCAGAACACCGGAUUGAAACCAGCAAUUUGACCUUUAAAAGGUAUAAAGUACUGCUUUUAGGUUUAAAUAGUUAACUGCACAAGCCAGAGACACACAGCUUGGUAGCACACUUCUAGCAAAAAAUCCUUUGCUUUUAAUUGACUGCAAGAUCAAUUUAUCUCCGAGUAGCCCAUGAGAGCUAAUACAUGAAACCCAAACUUAGCUUUACUAAUUGGUACAUAGUAGGGGUGCUACUCUUUUCUGCUGGUGUGAAAUCAUAACUGAAAUUUUGGACUCAGUUUCUAAUAAAAAUUUAGGAAGAACCUUAAUCAAUUGUAACUGCAGAAAAAAAAUCACAUGAUUUUGAGUGAAUUAAAUAUCAUGUUUUCUCAUUUUAUAAGCUAUGGUUAAAAAACUGGAUAUAUCCCAGAAAAAUGAAUUUUUAGAAAUUCGGUGGAACUGUGAUCUGAGAAAAUGGUUGUGAAAAUGGGA